AUUGAACGCUGGCGGCAGGCCUAACACAUGCAAGUCGAACGAGUGGCGGACGGGUGAGUAAUGUCUGGGAAACUGCCUGAUGGAGGGGGAUAACUACUGGAAACGGUAGCUAAUACCGCAUACCAUCGAAUGUGCCCAGAUGGGAUGGGCUAGUAGGUGGGUGAAAGGCUAACCGAGGCGACGACCCCCAGCUGGUCUGAGAGGAUGACGAGACACACUGGAACUGAGACACGGUCCAGACUCCUACGGGAGGAAGCAGUGGGGAAUAUUGCACAAUGGGCGAAAGCCUGAUGCAGCCAUGCGGCGUGUAUGAAGAAGGCCUUCGGGUUGUAAGGUACUUUCAGCGGGGAGGCGUUACCCGCAGAAGAAGCACCGGCUAACUCCGUGCCAGCAGCCGCGGUAAUUC
rnacentral:rRNA from 1 species